rnacentral:sRNA from 1 species
AAGUCGUAACAAGGUUUCCGUAGGUGAACCUUCGGAAGGAUCAUUACCGAGUGCCGGGCGCAAGCCCGUCUUCGCACACCCUCUGUCGACUCUCCGCAGUUGCUUCGGCGGCGGCCCUUGCGGCCCCGCCGGAGAACCCCCCCAAACGCAUGGCAAACCGGUCUGUCCGAGGCUAUACGCGAAAUCAGUCAAAACUUUUAACAACGGAUCUCUUGGUUCGGGCAUCGAUGAAGAACGCAGCGAAAUGCGAUACGUAAUGUGAAUUGCAGAAUUCAGUGAAUCAUCGAAUCUUUGAACGCACAUUGCGCCCGUCGGCAUUCCGACGGGCACGCCUGUCCGAGCGUCAUUGCACCCGUCAAGCCUCGCUUGGUGUUGGGGGACGUCGCGCCUCGCGCGCGACCCCCCCGGAACCCGUUGGCGGUGGCCCUUCGCCCCGAUCGUCGCGCUCGUUACGACGGCGCGGGGGGACCGCCCGCCCAACCGGCUGGCAACAGCCACCACACACGCAACGCUUGACCUCGGAUCAGGCGGGGAUACCCGCUGAACUUAAGCAUAUCAAUAAGCGGAGGAAAAGAAACCAACAGGGAUUACCUUAGUAACGGCGAGUGAAGCGGUAACGGCUCAAAUUUGAAAUCGGCCACCCGGUCGAGUUGUAAUUUGCAGAGGAUGCUUCGGCUUACGCCCCGGCCCAAGUCCGUUGGAACACGGCGUCGCAGAGGGUGAGAAUCCCGUUGCGGCCGGCGGCCCCGCCAUGUGAAGCUCCUUCGAC